GAUGAACGCUGGCGGCGUGCUUAACACAUGCAAGUCGAACGAAGCACUUCAUAAAGCUUGCUUUAGGAAGUGACUUAGUGGCGGACGGGUGAGUAACGCGUGGGUAACCUGCCUUACACAGGGGGAUAACAGUUAGAAAUGACUGCUAAUACCGCAUAAAACAGCAGAGUCGCAUGACUCAACUGUCAAAGAUUUAUCGGUGUAAGAUGGACCCGCGUCUGAUUAGCUUGUUGGUGGGAUAACGGCCUACCAAGGCGACGAUCAGUAGCCGGCCUGAGAGGGUGAACGGCCACAUUGGGACUGAGACACGGCCCAAACUCCUACGGGAGGCAGCAGUGGGGAAUAUUGGACAAUGGGCGAAAGCCUGAUCCAGCGACGCCGCGUGAGCGAUGAAGUAUUUCGGUAUGUAAAGCUCUAUCAGCAGG
rnacentral:rRNA from 1 species